rnacentral:lncRNA from 1 species
UAUGAGCACACAUUUUAAAAAUGAUUUAUUGUACAUCUUUGCAUUUCUUAAGGCAUGAACAAUGGCAUACAGAUGGCUACUUUGGAAGCAUGACAUUCAGUGUUCCAACAGGCAGGAUUUCCAUCGACUUCCCCCAGAACUUGUUUUAGUCUCCCCAAGGACUGGGUUGAAUGGCUUACUUCCUGCUCUGAAAUAGGUGGAGCAGUAUCCUGAAACUGCAAAUGCGGCAACGAGAACCU